CAGCAGCCGCGGGAAUACGUAGGUGGCAAGCGUUGUCCGGAAUUAUUGGGCGUAAAGGGCUCGCAGGCGGUUUCUUAAGUCUGAUGUGAAAGCCCCCGGCUCAACCGGGGAGGGUCAUUGGAAACUGGGAAACUUGAGUGCAGGAGAGAAAAGUGGAAUUCCUAGUGUAGCGGUGAAAUGCGUAGAGAUUAGGAGGAACACCAGUGGCGAAGGCGGCUUUUUGGCCUGUAACUGACACUGAGGCGCGAAAGCGUGGGGAGCAAACAGGAUUAGAGACCCCUGUAGUCCCUGUCUCUUAUAC
rnacentral:rRNA from 1 species